rnacentral:rRNA from 1 species
CUUACACAUGCAGUCGAGCGGGAUUAGCAGCAAUGCUAUGAGAGCGGCGCACGGGUGCGUAACGCGUAUGCAACCUGCCUUAUACAGGGGAAUAGCCCAUGGAAACGUGGAUUAACGUCCCAUAGGAUCACGGUAUCGCAUGGUAUUGUGAUUAAAACUGAGGUGGUAUAAGAUGGGCAUGCGUCUGAUUAGGUAGUUGGUGAGGUAAUGGCUCACCAAGCCGACGAUCAGUAGGGGUUCUAAGAGGAUUACCCCCCACACUGGUACUGAGACACGGACCAGACUCCUACGGGAGGCAGCAGUGAGGAAUAUUGGUCAAUGGCCGGAAGGCUGAACCAGCCAUCCCGCGUGCAGGAUGACGGCCCUAUGGGUUGUAAACUGCUUUUGUACCUGAAGAAACCUGUUUACGGGUAGACAGUUGCCGGUAAGGUAUGAAUAAGCAUCGGCUAACUCCGUGCCAGCAGCCGCGGUAAUACGGAGGAUGCAAGCGUUAUCCGGAUUCAUUGGGUUUAAAGGGUGCGCAGGUGGGGAAAUAAGUCAGUGGUGAAAUACUGCCGCUUAACGGUAGAAUUGCCAUUGAUACUGUUUUUCUUGAGUAUGGUUGAGGUAGGUGGAAUGUGUUGUGUAGCGGUGAAAUGCAUAGAUAUGACACAGAACGCCGAUUGCGAAGGCAGCUUACUAAGCCAUUACUGACGCUGAGGCACGUAAGCGUGGGGAUCAAACAGGAUUAGAUACCCUGGUAGUCCACGCCGUAAACGAUGAUCACUCGCUGUUUGCGAUAUACAGCAAGCGGCUGAGCGAAAGCAUUAAGUGAUCCACCU